AAUGGGGAAAGCUGGAAAUGCACAGGGAAAUCAGGGGGCCACUGGGGAGGAACCUGGGGAAAUCCUAAAAUAUUGGGGAAAAUCAGGAAAAAAAGGGAAAAAUCAGGAAAAAAACCCCAGGAAAAAUCAGGGGGAAAAAAGGAGAAAAAUCGGGGGAAAAUCAGGAAAUAAAAACCCAAGAAAAGUCAGGUAUAAAAAUGGGAAAAAUGAGGAAAAAAUAAUGGGGAAAAUAGGGGGAAAAGGAGAAACAUUGGGGAAAAACGUGAAAAAUCAGGAAAAAAACAGGAAAAAUCAGGAAAAAAACCAGGAAAAAUCAGGAAAAAAACUGAGGAAAAAUCAGGGAGAAAAAAGGAGAAAAAUUGGGGGAAAAUGGGGAAAAUCAGGAAAUAAAAACCCAGGAAAAGUCAGGUAUAAAAACGGGGAAAAA